UCUGUGUCUUCUGCUGAACUGAUUCCUUUCAGAUAACAUCGAUUCAUCGUGACUAGGGUUUCAUUUUUCUUUAGCAUCCAAAAGGCUCAGAACUAAGUUUUAAAUUCAGUUAUAGCCAUUUGCCGCCAAGAUAAUUGCGGGGUUUGUUUAGCUCUAAUGUUUUAUUUCUAGAUUUUAGUUUAAACCACCUUUACAUCUAUAUAGACACUAAAUGUGCUAAAAUAAACUUAACAUGGGUAGUGUUAAGGGAGGGAGACAUGAGGCUUGAAUCCCAAUAUGGCAAAAACAAACAGAAAACCAGCAAUUUGGCACACUGUGCUGUCUUAUAUUUUACAAAAAUAAAUGUGAAAGUAUAUGACCUAUGUUAUGAUCUUUAAAGAGUUUGUAGAAAUGGAAAAGGACUCAGAGAAAAGCAACGUAAAGAACAGGAGAAGAGGAGGAGGAGGACCACGACAACAACGGUGACGACGAUGAUGACGAAGACAACUGGAGAUAAAUAUCCAAAGCAUUUUCCAGCCAACAGUAUAGCAGAGCAUCUCAAUGGACCAAGGAAGAACCAGCCUGAGCUGCCAAGUCGGAUGAGAAACCCAACUGCCAAAUCAGCUAUCAGGGUGAAGUUCCUAACACCCUGGUACCACUUGCCUAGACAGUUGAAGCCAGUGAGUUUUCUGGUAGGCUUUUUUCUUUUAAUCCAUUUUGCGUAACUCAUAUCCAUUUAGUGAGCCGAUUAAUGGCUGGGUCAUCUAUCCCCAAAAUACAUUCAUUUGUAACACACCUCCUCCUCCAAUUUUGCCCAUGAUUGCACAGGGUUCGUGGAUUAAAUAAAGCCUAUCCUUAGAUAACCCGGC